UAUAAUGAAGAUAAGUCACAAUGUGUAUGGAGGGAGGUUUGGGGAAGCUGAGCUCAUUUCCUUCGGGAGAGGUGCAGCCUCCAUCCAGCUUCGGAAACAAGAGGCCCUUGUACUCUUCCUCCACAGCCUUCUCAACCUCAGGAAGUCAGUCCCUGGGAGCCAUGAAGUGCAGCAAUGACAGGCCCAUCUGGAGAAGACAUGACGGCUGGGUCUGCAGGACCCAGCUGAACUCAGGAGCAGAUUUGGGGAUGGCAAUCAGAUGCUGUUCUUCUACCUCAAAUGCCUUGAUCCUUAUUCUCUUCACCUGGACAGUUCUUCUUCAUCAUCCAAGAUCCAGCUCCUUCCUGCCUUCUUUAAGAAGCCUUCAUGGACCUCUCCCCUGGGUUAUGCCAUCAUAGCCACUCCAUGCAAUUCUCUCUCAUAGCACUUAUCUUGCUACAUUGAACUGUCUGUCUCUCUAACAGAGUGUGAGCCCGCCUUGAAGGUAGGUACCCUAGCCUUUACCUUGACAUCCCCAUAUUCCUAGCAGAGUGGCCAACACGUAAUAGGUGUGCAAUAUUUGUGGGUUUAAAGACAUCAGCCGCUGGAUAAAGACUGAGGCUCUGUCUUCCGGAUCAAGUAACUGGGCUACAAUGCCUAGGCAGAUCUCCAUCUGUUAAAUCAGAUUAGCAGUCUGCCCAGUUCCUCAGGUGUUGAAAUUUUAGAAACUCUCCCCCCAGGACUCUAACAGGAAUCCAGAGUUGAGAACCACUGCUUUCAUAAAAGCAGAUUUUGUGGAGGCAAGGGCUGCCAGGGUAGAAGCUUGCUAAGGAAAAUUACACAACAUGUUUAUACCUGCGAAAUCUGUGUAAAAUAAACACCAGAAAGCAACUAAAGGAGAUAAACUUCCAAAGCAUGGGAGAAAAUACCAACCCAAAGUUAUAGUUUAGGAAGACACAUGACAUUGACAGUCAUUAAUAAAAUGCAAAGUAACUCUAAGGUAUCGUUGCACAACUGUGAGAUGGGCAGAAAUAUGUAAUAAUGAUAAAAGGCUGCCAGGAUUAUGGCGAAAAUUGUUCCCUUAAAAACUGCUGUUAGCAUUACACUUUGAUUAAUUCUACUCUGUUUUGAGACAAUAAUCUGCAACUGUGUAACCAAAGCUCGAGAAGUCUUUGUUCUAUUUUUAGAAUAUACUAUAAGAAAAUAAAGAAGAAUGCAGUUUAUUCAAAAUUGCCUGUAGCAGUGGCAUGACAUAAAAGUGAAAAAUUAGAAGCCAUCUAAAUACUGAAUUUUGAAGACUAGUUGAAGUAAAUUAUGGAUCACAAAGUAAAUUCUGGAGCAUAAUAAAACACUAUGCUACCAUUACAAAUGACGAAUAUCCAACAUUUCUCACACAUGGAGAUGUGUAUGAAACAAGAAAAAGGCUAAAAAAAAAUCCCCCAUGCUUUGUGCCCUGCGAUGAGUCACAUAACAGCAAAUCAAUACAAAUUCACAAAGACUGGAGGUGCAUUCGAUGGGCAAAAAAGGUACUGUUCAUUAGCUUUAAAGUUGUUUGACUUUCUUGUAAUUAGAAAAUAAUAUUUAGAAAAUGUGUGUCCUCUGCUGGGGCAGCAACUGUUGGUCUGUCUCGAGGGAGCAGCAGGCCUGUUUCCAGCCUGACAACUGCUUGUAUCUUUACCUAGGCCUCUGGCUGAAAAUACACUCAAGUAUCUGG
rnacentral:lncRNA from 1 species